CAUAGUAUGGCGCUUAAUUACGCAGAGUGACAGCUUUACUUUCGCCUUUACUUGCACGAGAAGUGAGGACCGUCGUUACAAGUAGCUUUAUCACUAGUUCUGACUACCGCCGAAUGAUGGGACUGGCGAAUAAUGCGUCGGGAAGAUUGCGGAAAGAAGCGGUUGUGCCCAAAUCUGAGAUGUCUUAGUCCGGCAUCGGCCUGGAUACCGAGGAAAGCAACCUCACUCAGGAUAACCAGUUUCCGGGCCAAUGUUUGAACUUGGGACCUUCCAAAUACAAAGCAUGGGUGCUGCCCAUUCGCCUGCGACUUCCAUUACUAAUAAAUUCUGUACUACAGCGGCAUUUGCCUCAAUGGGGGAAUCUGAAACCCACGAGAAACAUCUUGAGAUGGCCGGCGCCCGCACCGAGAACAGAUCUUCGGCCUGCGGAAUACGAAGCAGGACUGUUACACACCCGACCCCAGCGUUCAGCGAAAAAUCUUUCAUAACCAGUUGCAGA